UACGUAGGGGCUAGCGUUAUCCGGAAUUACUGGGCGUAAAGGGUGCGUAGGUGGUUUCUUAAGUCAGAGGUGAAAGGCUACGGCUCAACCGUAGUAAGCCUUUGAAACUGGGAAACUUGAGUGCAGGAGAGGAGAGUGGAACUCCUAGUGUAGCGGUGAAAUGCGUAGAUAUUAGGAGGAACACCAGUUGCGAAGGCGGCUCUCUGGACUGUAACUGACACUGAGGCACGAAAGCGUGGGGAGCAAACAGGAUUAGAUACCCUGGUAGUCCCUGAG
rnacentral:rRNA from 1 species